rnacentral:rRNA from 1 species
UACGAAGGGUGCAAGCGUUACUCGGAGUUACUGGGCGUAAAGGGUGCGUAGGUGGUUUGUUAAGUCUGCUGUGAAAUCCCCGGGCUCAACCUGGGAAUGGCAGUGGAUACUGGCAAGCUAGAGUGCGGUAGAGGGUAGUGGAAUUCCCGGUGUAGCAGUGAAAUGCGUAGAGAUCGGGAGGAACACCAGUGGCGAAGGCGGCUACCUGGACCAGCACUGACACUGAAGCACGAAAGCGUGGGGAGCAAACAGG